UAAAGGUGGUGUCAUUUACAACAAAAGUCUGAAAUUCAUUUAAGAAUGUUUCUAGAGAAUGUUCGUCCCGGCAUGUUGCCAGGUAACUACUUUUCCCUGAUUUUUGAAAGCAUACUAUUAGGUCAGUAAUGUUUACAGAGGAUUGGAGAGUGAACAAGACAUCUCUUGUGUUUAUUUGCUCAGCUGUUUCCUUCUGGAAAUCGCUAUUGGACUCGUCGACAUAUAUGAC
rnacentral:lncRNA from 1 species